rnacentral:rRNA from 1 species
UACGUAGGGGGCAAGCGUUGUCCGGAAUCAUUGGGCGUAAAGCGCGUGUAGGCGGCUCGAUAAGUCUGCUGUGAAAGCCCAGGGCUCAACCCUGGAAGUGCACUCGAAACUCCCGAGCUGGAGUCCCGGAGAGGAAGGCGGAAUUCUCGGUGUAGAGGUGAAAUUCGUAGAUAUCGAGAGGAACACCUGUGGCGAAGGCGGCCUUCUGGACGGUGACUGACGCUGAGACGCGAAAGCGUGGGGAGCAAACAGG